rnacentral:rRNA from 1 species
UACAGAGGGGGCAAGCGUUGUUCGGAAUUACUGGGCGUAAAGGGCGCGUAGGCGGCCUUCUAAGUCGAACGUGAAAUCCCCGGGCUCAACCCGGGAACUGCGUCCGAUACUGGAAGGCUUGAAUUCGGGAGAGGGAUGCGGAAUUCCAGGUGUAGCGGUGAAAUGCGUAGAUAUCGAGAGGAACACCUGCGGCGAAGGCGGGUUGCUGGGCUGACACUGACGCUGAUGCGCGAAAGCCAGGGGAGCGAACGGG